GCGUGGGGCGGAGACGACACUAACAAUCCUUCGGGUGCGUUAAUGGGCGUCGAGCGGCGGACGGGUGAGUAAUGCCUAGGAAAUUGCCUUGAUGUGGGGGAUAACCAUUGGAAACGAUGGCUAAUACCGCAUAAUGCCUACGGGCCAAAGAGGGGGAUCUUCGGACCUCUCGCGUCAAGAUAUGCCUAGGUGGGAUUAGCUAGUUGGUGAGGUAAUGGCUCACCAAGGCGACGAUCCCUAGCUGGUCUGAGAGGAUGAUCAGCCACACUGGAACUGAGACACGGUCCAGACUCCUACGGGAGGCAGCAGUGGGGAAUAUUGCACAAUGGGCGAAAGCCUGAUGCAGCCAUGCCGCGUGCAUGAAGAAGGCCUUCGGGUUGUAAAGUACUUUCAGUUGUGAGGAAGGGGGUAACGUUAAUAGCGUUAUCUCUUGACGUUAGCAACAGAAGAAGCACCGGCUAACUCCGUGCCAGC
rnacentral:rRNA from 1 species